UUUUAAGCAAGAUCAAUGAUUCAAUUGAUAGAUAUUGAGGUUCUAAAGUGUACUAGGAUUAGAUUAAGUAAAAUUAGAGUUUGGUUUAGGGUUUGAUUUAAGGUUUAGGAUUUGUCUAGGAUUUGGUUUAGAAUUUAGGAUUUAUUUAGAAUUUAAUAUAAGAUUUAGAAUUUUUCUAAAGUUUGAUUUAGGAUUUGAUUUAGGAUUUAGGAUUUGUCUAAGGUUUGGUUUAGGAUUUGAUUUAGGAUUUAGAAUUUAAUCUAAGAUUUGGUUUAGGAUUUAGGAUUUUUCUAGGAUUUGAUUUAGGAUUUGAAUUAGGAUUUAAGAUUUGUCUAAGAUUUGAUUUAGGAUUUGAUUUAUAUCAAGGAUUAAAUUUAGAAUUUGAUUUAGGAUUUAAGAUUUGAUUUAGGAUUUGGUUUAGGAUUUAGGAUUUAUCUAGGAUUUGAUUUAGGAUUUAGGAUUUGUCUAAGGUUUGAUUUAAGAUUUGAUUUAGGAUUUAUAAUUUGUGUAAGAUUUGUUUUAGGAUUUGAUUUAAGAUCUAAAGUUUGAUUUAAGAUUUGGUUUAGGAUUUAAGGUUUGUCUAAGAUUCAAUUUAAGAUUUGAUUUAGGAUCAAGAGUUUGAUUUAAGAUUUGGUUUAGAACUUAGGAUUUGAUUUAGGAUCAAAGGUUUGAUCUAGGAUUUGAUUUAGGAUUUAUAAUUUGUCUAAGGUUUGUUUUAGGAUUUGAUUUAG
rnacentral:lncRNA from 1 species